AAUGAACGCUGGUGGCAGACCUAACACAUGCAAGUCGAACGAUUUAUAAAAACUUCGGUUUUUGUAAAGAGUGGCAAACGGGUGAGUAAUGCAUGGGAAUCUACCUAGAAGUUUGGGGAUAACUAUUAGAAAUAGUAGCUAAUACCGGAUACCACCCUGGAGGGGGAAAGUUGUACUUUUAGUCUUCGUCUUUUAGAUGACGCCCAUAGUUAAAUUAGUUAGUUGGUGGGAUAAUAGCCUACCAAGACGAUGAAUUAUAGCUGGUCUUAGAGGAUGAUCAGCCACACUGGAAUUGAGAUACGGUUCAGACUCCUACGGGAGGCAGCAGGUGGGGGAAUAUUGGAUGGGCGCAAGCCUGAUCCAGUCAUGCCACGUGAGUGAUG
rnacentral:rRNA from 1 species